rnacentral:misc_RNA from 1 species
GCCCAACAUGAGUUCGUGUAGGAUUCAGCUUUACUUGUGGUUUCCUGGAGUAUCUGAUGUAAUUGAGCAAUUGAGAGCCAACAUCAAAAUUAACUUCAAUACAUGGAAAGUCAAACGUUAAAUAGUUCAAAUCUCUGGUUGGGUUCUUCGCAACAAUCAAUCCCAAGCCUCCAACCUCCUGGACAACUUGUUGAGUAAAUGGCAAAUACAACUCAUCUCCUUUAACAAUGAAGCAAAGCACUACUUUUCCAGCCGCCCAUGUAUCAUUUGUAUUCAAGUUGUUGCAAAAGCGU